CUUAGAGCAGUUUUCAAAUGACUGUCGAAACUAAUUAGGUGAUUGUGAUUGCUAAGCUUAGGGAUUAGACUCGCGCCAGUUUUUCAACUAACGAGAAUCAAAACCACAACCAAUCGCACAAUGUACGCCUGGUUUUUCUCACGCUUCGAGCGAGGUACAG